CAAUCCAUGAGCAGACCUAGUCAAUACAAUAUGUCUGUAAAUUCUAAAAAUUCAUGUGCCUCAAAAAUAUUCGGUGACGACAAAUUUUACGUAUUUCAUAAUACUUUAUUAGACUCAAAUUUGAAGAAGAAUAUGUAUAAUCAAAAUAAUUUUGACAUUUUACUUGGCGACAAACCAACAUUCGUUAUUAAUCAAACGAAAGUAAAUUCUUCACAAUUUAACCAAAAAAAAUCAGGGAUUCCCAAAUUGAAUACAGAAAUAAAACUUGAUACAAAACAAACAGAUAUUCAAAUACCAGUUAAAUAUCCAUCUUAUUCAAUUCCUUUGAGAAACCUGGAAUAUAAUGGAAAAAAAACUAGAUCUUACGUAGAUUGUCCGUCUGAAGUACUUCAAAAAACUACAAAUUUUGACACUAACGUCACAGAUAGUAUUAUCGACUGGUCGAGAUUUCAAAGGUCACGAGACAAUACUAUAAAUGUAAAAUCUUCGAAAACAUCAAUUCUUACAAAUGAACCUUGGCAAUUAAGUUUUUGUGAUGAUAAAGACGAGCCCAAUUCCAUUAAAUCCCCAGAUAAGAACAGUUACCAUGAUUAUUAUUACCAUUACUGCUGGAGAAAAGAAGUAGCGAAGAAAAGUAAAGCUGUGCAGGACCUUUGGGACUGCAAAGGAAGAUGUAAGAAAUGCCAGGGACAUAGGAUAUCUCCCUAUCAGA